CCUACGGGAGGCAGCAGUGAGGAAUAUUGGUCAAUGGGCGCGAGCCUGAACCAGCCAAGUCGCGUGAAGGAUGACUGUCUUAUGGAUUGUAAACUUCUUUUGUAGGGGAAUAAAGAACGGUACGUGUACCGUAGUGAAUGUACCCUACGAAUAAGCAUCGGCUAACUCCGUGCCAGCAGCCGCGGUAAUACGGAGGAUGCGAGCGUUAUCCGGAUUUAUUGGGUUUAAAGGGUGCGUAGGCGGCCUGUUAAGUCAGCGGUGAAAUCUAGGAGCUUAACUCCUAAAUUGCCAUUGAUACUGGCGGGCUUGAGUGUAGAUGAGGUAGGCGGAAUGCGUGGUGUAGCGGUGGAAUGCAUAGAUAUCACGCAGAACUCCGAUUGCGAAGGCAGCUUACUAAGGUACAACUGACGC
rnacentral:rRNA from 1 species